rnacentral:rRNA from 1 species
UACGUAGGGUGCGAGCGUUGUCCGGAAUUAUUGAGCGUAAAGGGCUCGUAGGCGGUUUGUCGCGUCGGGAGUGAAAACCUCGGGCUUAACUCGGGGCUUGCUUUCGAUACGGGCAGACUGGAGGUAUGCAGGGGAGAACGGAAUUCCUGGUGUAGCGGUGAAAUGCGCAGAUAUCAGGAGGAACACCGGUGGCGAAGGCGGUUCUCUGGGCAUGACCUGACGCUGAGGAGCGAAAGUGUGGGGAGCGAACAGG